ensembl:lncRNA
UUAUUGAUAAAUUAGCUGGGCAGCUCUUUCAACAAGUUUCUGUGCGUGCCUCCAUGUGUGUGCACGAGUGCGUGUCUGUACUGUGUGUGUAUUUGCGAAAGAGAACGGGAGAAGGAAAGUGUGAUUUCCGUACAUAUAAAGGUGGAAAACAUAAAUAAUUAGUCAUUUUUCAUCCUAUUGCUUGUUAUAUUUAUUUGCUCAAUAUCUUUUGAGGUUUUGGUUCUUUUACUGUUGUAGAAAGCCGCCCAUAGUAUAACAAAAGUAGGUUACACUUUAUUUUAAGUUGUCCAAGUUACAGUGUAAAUAUACAUUUAAGUAAUAUUAAUUCACUAUAUGUACUUAUUAUAUAGGGUUAGGAUUAGGGUUUGAUUUAGGGUUACUUGCGUGUAAUUAGGCCUAUGCAUGAAUAAUUGUUAUUAUAAUAGUAAGUACAUGUAACGUGUAACAAGGACACCUUAAAAUAAAAUGUUAGCCAAAAGUAAUAUUUAUCGCUUAAUUGUACUUGAAGCAUAUCUUCAUGUCUCAUUUUUCUUUUUAUUUUAACUUAUUUUAAAAUAACGCAAUUUUUACUUCACAACCCUCAGUCAAUUCAGUUUUAUUUUUUGGCCCUUUGUAGUAAAAAGCUUUGGCACCUCUGAUUUAAUAUUCAUUUAUAAUAUUUUAAGUGUUUUUAAAAGGUUUGGUGAUGUUUCACUUCUUUCAUUUUCACUUCAAUGUGCUUUUGAGCCUGUUCAUCCUGCUGCAGUUUCCUGCAGGUCAUGUGACUGAUGCGACUCAUCUGCAUACAAGUAUUUAAGACAACAGCAUACUGUGCAGUGUUCUCAGACGGGAGAUUGAAGAACACAAGACUAAUCUGUUGUAUGAUAUUAAGCAUUUCAUCUGCUUUCAUUUGCUCUUUGGGAUCCAAAUUCACUUCAGGACUUAGGUUCUUCCAGCCUUACAGAAGACCUAAGACAUCAUAUCCUGACAAAUUAAAAUCAAACAACAUGGCGGCAGAGAAAGCAGCAGCAGAAGAACCAAGGGAAACUCUACUGUCACCACUGACAUUAACAAUUACAAUUGUAACAGUUGUAGUAGUAGUUUAUGCAUAUAUUUCAGGAGUAGGUGAAGGAGUAGUCGGAGCAGCAGCUGGAGCAGCAGCUGGAAUUGGCAUUUUACACUCACUGUGGGAAGAAGAAGAAAGAACAGAACUACUAGCCGUUGCAGUAACAGGAGUAACAGGAGGCAUAGCAGGAUUAGCAGCAGCAAUGUUGCGAUCAAUGGUAGCAGAACGUUCACUAACAGGAGCAGCAAUAGUUGGAGCGAUAGCAGGAGCUGCAAUAGUUGCAAUAGCAAAAACACAAUUACAAUGCGCUAUAAAAAUAAUAAAGCGUUUAAAAGAUGCAUUGAAACUGUUUGUAGGAGUGAGUCUAGUAGCAAUAGCAGGGAGUCUAAUAAAAUGGGCAGCAAAUCAAAUAAAAUGGGUAAAAGAUCUAAUAAAGUCUGCAGUAUCCCAAGUAAAAUCAGCAGCACAAUGGAUUAUAGAAGCAGCAAAAAAAGCAUUCAAUGCAUUAGCAUCAUUUGGAGCAUCAGGAUUAGCACUAACAGCAGCAGGAGUAGUAGCAUCAGUAGCAUUAGCAUCAGCAGCAGCAUCAGGAUUAGCAGCAGUAGGAACAGCAGUAGCAGGUCUAGCAUCUGGAUUAUUUGGAGGAUUAUUGGGACUUGGGUUAGUACUUGCAGCAGGAGCAGCACUUUUUGGAUCAGGCUGGAGAGGACAAUCAAACCAGCAGCAGCAGACCCGAGGAGCAGAUAUGAUGUUACCAAUUGCUGCUUUUUUGCUUUUGCUUUUAUUUUGUUUUCUUGUUACCUCCGUGGGUUUGUUUCGAUGUUGCUGUUUGUUGAUUCUCUUCCUGUUCCUGUGGUUUCUGCUGUGCUACCGCUCUGAAAAUCACUGA